UCACACACAACCAGACACAGCCACAGCCACGGCUCUUCCCCCACAGUCCCCCAGUUCCACUGGCGACAGGGGCUCCAUGGACUCUGUCCAAAAGAAGAACAGUGGGGGCAGCACGGGGGUGAUCCUGGACAUCAGCAACCUCAAGAUCGG